GGGGAAUAUUGGGCAAUGGACGAAAGUCUGACCCAGCAACGCCGCGUGAAGGAAGAAGGCUUUCGGGUUGUAAACUUCUUUGACAGGGGAAGAGUAGAAGACGGUACCCUGAAAACAAGCCACGGCUAACUACGUGCCAGCAGCCGCGGUAAUACGUAGGGGGCAAGCGUUAUCCGGAUUUACUGGGUGUAAAGGGAGCGUAGACGGUAAAGCAAGUCUGAAGUGAAAGCCCGCGGCUCAACUGCGGGACUGCUUUGGAAACUGUUUAACUGGAGUGUCGGAGAGGUAAGUGGAAUUCCUAGUGUAGCGGUGAAAUGCGUAGAUAUUAGGAGGAACACCAGUGGCGAAGGCGACUUACUGGACGAUAACUGACGUUGAGGCUCGAAAGCGUGGGGAGCAAACA
rnacentral:rRNA from 2 species